GACGAACGCUGGCGGCGUGCUUAACACAUGCAAGUCGAACGGUAAGGCCCUUCGGGGUACACGAGUGGCGAACGGGUGAGUAACACGUGGGUGAUCUGCCCUGCACUUCGGGAUAAGCCUGGGAAACUGGGUCUAAUACCGGAUAGGACCACUGCCUGCAUGGGUGGUGGUGGAAAGCUUUUGCGGUGUGGAUGGGCCCGCGGCCUAUCAGCUUAUUGGUGGGGUGAUGGCCUACCAAGGCGACGACGGGUAGCCGGCCUGAGAGGGUGACCGGCCACACUGGGACUGAGAGACGGCCCAGACUCCUACGGGAGGCAGCAGUGGGGAAUAUUGCACAAUGGGCGCAAGCCUGAUGCAGCGACGCCGCGUGAGGGAUGACGGCCUUCGGGUUGUAAACCUCUUUCAGCACCGACGAAGCGCAAGUGACGGUAGGUGCAGAAGAAGGACCGGCCAACUACGUGCCAGCCGCCGCCGUAA
rnacentral:rRNA from 1 species